CUUGACAUCCAGCGAACUUUCCAGAGAUGGAUUGGUGCCUUCGGAACGCUGAGACAGGUGCUGCAUGGCUGUCGUCAGCUCGUGUUGUGAAAUGUUGGGUUAAGUCCCGCAACGAGCGCAACCCUUAUCCUUUGUUGCCAGCGAUUCGGUCGGGAACUCAAAGGAGACUGCCGGUGAUAAACCGGAGGAAGGUGGGGAUGACGUCAAGUCAUCAUGGCCCUUACGAGUAGGGCUACACACGUGCUACAAUGGCGCAUACAAAGAGAAGCGACCUCGCGAGAGCAAGCGGACCUCAUAAAGUGCGUCGUAGUCCGGAUCGGAGUCUGCAACUCGACUCCGUGAAGUCGGAAUCGCUAGUAAUCGUGGAUCAGAAUGCCACGGUGAAUACGUUCCCGGGCCUUGUACACACCGCCCGUCACACCAUGGGAGUGGGUUGCAAAAGAAGUAGGUAGCUUAACCUUCGGGAGGGCGCUUACCACUUUGUGAUUCAUGACUGGGGUGAAGUCGUAACAAGGUAGGCGUAGCGAG
rnacentral:rRNA from 1 species